rnacentral:rRNA from 1 species
AUUGAACGCUGGCGGCAGGCCUAACACAUGCAAGUCGAGCGAGCGGCGGACGGGUGAGUAAUGUAUGGGGAACUGCCUGAUGGCGGGGGAUAACUACUGGAAACGGUAGCUAAUACCGCAUACCAUCAGAUGUACCCAGAUGGGAUUAGCUAGUAGGUAGGGUAAUGGCUCACCUAGGCGACGAUCCCUAGCUGGUCUGAGAGGAUGACCAUCCACACUGGGACUGAGACACGGUCCAGACUCCUACGGGAGGCAGCAGUGGGGAAUAUUGCACAAUGGGCGCAAGCCUGAUGCAGCCAUGCCGCGUGUAUGAAGAAGGCCUUCGGGUUGUAAAGUACUUUCAGCGGGGAGGCGUUACCGGCAGAAGAAGCACCGGCUAACUCCGUGCCAGCAGCCGCGGUAAUUC